GCCUGGGUGGCUUAGUCGGUUAAGCGUCCGACUUCGACUCAGGUCAUGAUCUCGCGGUUUGUGGGUUCAAGUCCCGCAUCUGGCU
rnacentral:tRNA from 1 species